UACGAAGGGGGCUAGCGUUGUUCGGAAUCACUGGGCGUAAAGCGCACGCAGGCGGAUCGAUAAGUUGGGGGUGAAAGCCCGGGGCUCAACCUCGGAAUUGCCAUCGAUACUGUCGGUCUCGAGUCCGGGAGUGGUGAGUGGAAUUCCUUGUGUAGAGGUGAAAUUCGUAGAUAUUAGGAAGAACAACAGUGGCGAAGGCGGCUCACUGGCCCGGUAGUGACGCUCAGGUGUGAAAGCGUGGGGAGCAAACAGG
rnacentral:rRNA from 1 species